rnacentral:lncRNA from 1 species
UGAGAUUCGUUUGGUUUCUAUCAGCCGUCCGAUUUGUUAGGUUAUUCUUGCGUCGGUGUCCAGAUUUUUCAACUUCUCUACCUUUCCCGUUCGAUUACGCCCCGACAUGUUGCUCAUCGCCCUCCCGUUCCAUCGAGGAGGUGAUUGUGGAGGCGAGUUAGGGUUUCUUCCAUGGCGGAUUUCUUCGGCAACUCCAUGAUCUAGUCAUGUGGUUCGCUCUACCACAAGAGGAUGUGAUGUUUGCUUCACAUCUUCUUGCUUGACCUCAGUUUUCUUUGUGAGAUUGCGACUGAUUUUUGUUGAGUUUUGUUUACCUUCUUUGAUUCGUUUGUUUUUCCGGCGAUAGCCCCAAACGUUGACUUCGAUUGGAUUCUGCUCCAGCUAUGGGUGAGAGCAGUUCUCCCAUUCUGCCAGAUUCAACUUUUUCCCCUAUUGGAGUCAAGAGGGUCCUGAAUUCUCAUCAGGAUGGAAACUCUCAAGUGGCGCAUGUAGAUUUUAAUAAUAUGGGGUCUGAUUUCUCUAUGUUCCUUGGAUGAAUUGAUGUGCCAUGCAUUCUUUAAUUUCUUUUUACUGACUGAUCCAUGAGUAAUUUUUAGAGGGGGCCAAUCUUAUAGAUAACUGGUUAAUUCUAGUGCUUUUGCUUGUAAGCAAGUAGGAAUACUUAGCUUCUACCUUAACAAAUUAUAUAACUAGGAGGGACCCUGGCUCCCUUUGGCCAUCAAGAAGCUCCGCCCUGGGAGGCUUGUUCACUACUGUACUUGGGGAUAAUGUUGUUUUGAUGCCAUUCAGCAGCAUGGUUGUCUAAUGGCAUGAGCGAAGGAUUGGUCUGCUUCAGUUUACCUUUUCACAGCUGUAGUUUUUGAACUGUUCCAUAUGCAAAGGAAAAUUUUAAUUUGUUGCUUUCUCUGUCCGUCGUAUCCUUUUUAUUGGUCUACUCAUUCAUAGAUGUAGACUUCUUCAGUGAAACAUUUUUGUUGCUAUUUUCCCUAAAAAUACAUGGUACCAGCCCUUAAGUAACAGGUAAGUUCUGGUAUGACGACAAAACAUUGACAAUAUGCCUGUUUGGAGAUGUUGUGACCUUGGAAUAAAGUAGAGCCGGCAGAAGAUUUCUUUAUGGCACAUAUCCAGACACUUAGAUACAUGCUAUCAUAGUUAUGCCUUUAGCUUUCGAUCUAUAGCACAACUGCAGCUAUUAAUCUAUUAUUAAGUAGCUGAAGAGAUUUUGAACUGGCUCACUUGGAUGAGGACUUGACUUGAUGUUUGUCAUGAACUCCAUUUUGCUCUACUCUACCUUGACUGAUCUCUUUAGUCGAGGCUUUUCAGAUUCCAAAACACUAGCUAGCAAUGCUUUUUUAUCUCGAUAAUUUUAAUAAUAUAAAUAUACAAUGAUAUCUCCUAUAUUGGUGAUUGUUAGUAAAUAUUCAGCAUUUUAGAUCGUUCUAUUCAACAAUUUGCAAAUCUAGUUCGACAUUACUGAAUCUACUGUAGUCAACAUUUCAGAUUGUUCUAUUCAACAAUUGUAUAAAUCUAGUUCAACAUUACUGAAUCUACUGCAAUCAACAUUUCAUAUUGCUCUAUUCUACAAUUGUGUAAUUCUAGUUCAACAUUGCUGAAUCUAUUGCAAUCAACAUUUCAGAUUGUUCUUUUCAACAAUUGUGUAAAUCUAGUUGAACAUUCAUGAAUGUACUGUAAUACUUAAGUCAAGAUUACAAAGUGCUACAAUCAACAUCUAUGUAAAUGCACCGCAACAUUAAUGAAUACUUGUUUUCAACAUUUUGCUUAUUAUUUCUAACUUUUUUAUCAGACUAAAGAAUAUGGGCUAUAAUCUGAUUUUUAUAUUUCACAGGUGUAACACGUUAUGAGAAGAUAUUUGGAUUGUUGGAACUCUUUGUUAUUUGCACAAUCUCGUUACAAAAGCUUACUUCUUCAAAACCUCUCAUGUAAUCAGUUAGAUUUACUUCUGUGCACAUAAUUAUAAAUUUAUAUUAUAUCCAUAUGAUGUAAAUAUUAGUGUAUGGAUAGUUCUGUACGCUUUAUUAGAGUUGUUAGUUAGGCUUCUUAGAAUAUGUAUUUGUUGACUUCAAUUUUUUUUACUUGCCAUUUCAAAUCUCUAAUUGCGAGUUCAAAACUCUAACUGCAAGUUCAAGUUCCCACCCGUCACUUUCCCCUUUUAACCACAUGUCCCGCAAAAGAAAAAUAAAAGGCAA